GUGCUUGCUUCAGCAGCACAUAUACUAAAAUUGGAAUGAUAGAGAUUAGCAUUGUCCCUGCACAAGAAUGACACACAAAUUUGUGAAGUGUUCCAUAUUUUC